GACAGAGGGUGCAAACGUUGCUCGGAAUUACUGGGCGUAAAGCGCGUGUAGGCGGUCACGCAAGUCAGGUGUGAAAGCCCAGGCUCAACCCUGGAAGUGCACAUGAUACUACGUGGCUGGAGUACUGAAGAGGAGAGCGGAAUUCCCGGUGUAGAGGUGAAAUUCGUAGAUAUCGGGAGGAACACCAGUGGCGAAGGCGGCUCUCUGGGCAGAUACUGACGCUGAGACGCGAAAGCGUGGGUGAGCAAACA
rnacentral:rRNA from 1 species